GACGGCCGUAAUCUCGCGAUAUUCGGCGCGCCGGCCCUAGCCGGAAGCUUAUGGUGUCGGCCGGCUCUCGCGAGACUUACCAUUAGUCGGAGCGCGGGGGCCGGCCGUGAGGAGCGCUGGAGCUGCCGGUAGGGAACAUGUCGGAGUCCGAGCCGGGCAGAAAGUGGGACCGGUGUAUGGCCGACGCGUUAGUGAAGCUAGGUACUGGUUUUGGAUUAGGAAUGGUUUUCUCCCUCACCUUCUUUAAGAGAAGAAAGUGGCCAUUAGCCUUUGGUUCUGGCGUGGGACUGGGGAUGGCCUACUCCAACUGUCAGCAUGACUUUCAGGCUCCAUAUCUUCUACAUGGAAAAUAUGUCAAAGAGCAGUGACUUAUGCUGAGAACAUCCCAGCGGGAGAAAAGAGAAGCCUCAUUUAUUCCUCAGGAAUACUGAAGUGCCCUGGAGUGCGCUGACGUCCUGUGACAGUGCCAUCAGCAACGCUUUCAACUCCAGCCACUGUUUAUGUGUUUGAAACCAAGUCUGUUGCUUUUGUAUCAUCUCUUUGGAAAUUGUAAGGAGGUCUUAAAUAAAUGAGAAACAGGAAGCCCGAUGCAAGGCCUGUAUUCCUUUAUGUUGCAGAAGGCUUCUCUUUGAACGGCCUAGCUGUGGCCUCUGUGACCUCCUGAGGAUACAGGCACGUCCUCCCCACUCCCCUAAUGCACAGUUGUCCUUCCCACCCCAACUCCAAGACUGGUGGCACUGCUCCCUGUGUGAUGUGACAGGGUGAAGUCUCCAGGGGCACCUUCCUGAUGGUGUGCUUGGCCUGUGCCCUGGCUCACGCCUGCUGUGCCGAGGUCUGCUCCACUGACGUCAGUCCCUGUGCUGCGUGGAGCACUGACUGACAGUGUGGAGCUGGUGGCCACAGCCUGGAUGGAAGGACAGGCAGGCUGAGGUCUGAGAACAAAUGGCCAUUGCAGUUCCCCUGUCUGUUCUUGUGGGUUUGUGAGGCACAGCAUAGAAUAUUUCCAGUUCCUCCUGAUGUGUGCACGCCUGUGCUCAGGCUUUCGUAGGUGUCUGCUGUGAAUGCUCCGGACACAGGUGCCUGUAGCUGGGAAAGGACAAGCAGUUGAUGACCAUAGAGGGCAGAGGGGCAGCACAGGCACGCGGGUUAGACCUCAGCCCUUGGAAGAGCUUUAGUGAGUGAGUUCAGGGUGGCCUCUCCCCGCCCUCUGCCUUUUCCUCCCUUAUUCUGUAUUCUAUUUCCCUUCCCUGAAGCAUGUUUGGGGCUGUGGACGUGAGCAGGCAGUAGGGUGCUCUGCCAAAGAUGGGCUGUGCCCAGGACAGCAAGUCAUGGCCGUGGCUUGCCUCAGCCACUUGGCUCUUUUUCAUGUGGCCCUCUUAACCCGUGCGGAACAGCCCAUGCCAUUAGCAGAAAAAAUAGUCCUGCUACUGGGUUCCUCCCUCCAGUGCCUCUGUAUUAGCUUUAUACAUGGCAUCCCUCUGGGUCCCCCUACUUGUCUGCCUUCAGAGUUAAGAGUGACAGCCCUCCCCCAAUCCAAAAACAAAGGGAAAACUGACCCUGUGUCUCUAGGUAGGAAAUGACAGGAACACGGAAUGGCCAGGGACAUCUCUGGCAGGUUUUAGUACUCUGUCGCACUGAUCUUGUCCCUCAACAUCCUAGGAUUCUGCAGAAGUGUCCCAGGAACCAGCCCCCUCCUGGAGGAAGUGAUUCUGGGCCAGGCAAAGAAAGGCCCACUGUUCUGUUAGUCUUGGUCCCAGAGCGUUUUGUGUCCCCACCUUGUGGCUCUUGCAGAGGGCAUCAGAAACACAAAGCCUCAUCUUAUCCUCUAUUCCCUCCCCCACCUCAGAUGAGCUUGUUGGCAAGGGGGAGCAUUCUGUCCUACUUGAAGUUUCAUUGGAAAUUCAAAUCCUCUGGAGGCCCUGCUCCCUUGUGAGGUUGGGAAGUUUCAGCUUCACCUCUCCUCUGCCCUUCUGGAAUCAAACAUGAGGAAAUUCAUGGGUUUAAGGAUCCAGUGGUGGGCACCCAGCUGGGCACAGGAUACUAGAGCAAAGCUGUGGCGCCCCAGAAGUGGCCUGCACUGCCAACAUACAUAAAUACAUACAGUCUGAACUUGACACUGUGUAAUUUAGCCCAGAACAAUAUGUAUUUUGAAAUCAUUUAGGUGGAUGACUUUUGCAUUCCGAGUGGCUGGGGAGCCUUUAUUGGGGCACAUUUACUGUCUACAGAAGCAUGCCUUUGUUCUAAGACGUGGCUUUUGGAACAUUUUGCUGAGCUGUCCCUUUGAGUGAAUGUCACCCUCUCCCCGCUUUCAAAAGGCCCAAGAAUGCAGUCCCACAAUCCUGCUGUAGGAAACAGACACUGGGGUAAGAGAGAUGGCUCUUGUUUUUGCUGUUGGUUCUCAAACCUCUGUUUACAUUUUUUUUUAAUGUAACCAACCCAUAAUUGCAUUUUGCUUGUCAUGGUUCAAUCUGAUUGCAUUGUUGGAAGGACUAUUUUUGACCUUGUCCAAAUAAACUCUGCAGAGUAUUUCCACAAA
ensembl:lncRNA Micos10 mitochondrial contact site and cristae organizing system subunit 10